GGACAAUGGGCGCAAGCCUGAUCCAGCCAUGCCGCGUGAGUGAAGAAGGCCCUCGGGUUGUAAAGCUCUUUUGUCCGGAAAGAAAAGCAUUCGGUUAAUACCCGAGUGUUCUGACGGUACCGGAAGAAUAAGCACCGGCUAACUUCGUGCCAGCAGCCGCGGUAAUACGAAGGGUGCAAGCGUUACUCGGAAUUACUGGGCGUAAAGCGUGCGUAGGUGGUUUGUUAAGUCUGAUGUGAAAGCCCUGGGCUCAACCUGGGAAUGGCACUGGAUACUGGCAAGCUAGAGUGCGGUAGAGGAUAGUGGAAUUCCUGGUGUAGCAGUGAAAUGCGUAGAGAUCAGGAGGAACAUCCGUGGCGAAGGCGACUGUCUGGACCAGCACUGACACUGAGGCACGAAAGCGUGGGGAGCAAACAGGAUUAGAUACCCUGGUAGUCCACGCCCUAAACGAUGUCAACUGGUUGUUGGGUCUUAACUGACUCAGUAACGAAGCUAACGCGUGAAGUUGACCGCCUG
rnacentral:rRNA from 1 species